GGGGAUAACAUUUGGAAACAGAUGCUAAUACCGAAUAAAACUUAGUAUCGCAUGAUAUCAAGUUAAAAGGCGCUACGGCGUCACCUAGAGAUGGAUCCGCGGUGCAUUAGUUAGUUGGUGGGGUAAAGGCUUACCAAGACGAUGAUGCAUAGCCGAGUUGAGAGACUGAUCGGCCACAUUGGGACUGAGACACGGCCCAAACUCCUACGGGAGGCUGCAGUAGGGAAUCUUCCACAAUGGGCGCAAGCCUGAUGGAGCAACGCCGCGUGUGUGAUGAAGGCUUUCGGGUCGUAAAGCACUGUUGUAUGGGAAGAAAUGCUAAAAUAGGGAAUGAUUUUAGUUUGACGGUACCAUACCAGAAAGGGACGGCUAAAUACGUGCCAGCAGCCGCGGUAAUACGUAUGUCCCGAGCGUUAUCCGGAUUUAUUGGGCGUAAAGCGAGCGCAGACGGUUGAUUAAGUCUGAUGUGAAAGCCCGGAGCUCAACUCCGGAAUGGCAUGGGAAACUGGUUAACUUGAGUGUUGUAGAGGUAAGUGGAACUCCAUGUGUAGCGGUGGAAUGCGUAGAUAUAUGGAAGAACACCAGUGGCGAAGGCGGCUUACUGGACAACAACUGACGUUGAGGCUCGAAAGUGUGGGUAGCAAACAGGAUUAGAUACCCUGGUAGUCCACACCGUAAACGAUGAAUACUAGGUGUUAGGAGGUUUCCGCCUCUUAGUGCCGAAGCUAACGCAUUAAGUAUUCCGCCUGGGGAGUACGACCGCAAGGUUGAAACUCAAAGGAAUUGACGGGGACCCGCACAAGCGGUGGAGCAUGUGGUUAAUUCGAAGCAACGCGAAGAACCUUACCAGGUCUG
rnacentral:rRNA from 1 species